UACGAAGGGUGCAAGCGUUACUCGGAAUUACUGGGCGUAAAGCGUGCGUAGGUGGUGAGUUAAGUCUGUCGUGAAAGCCCCGGGCUCAACCUGGGAAUGGCGAUGGAUACUGGCUCGCUAGAGUGCGGUAGAGGAGACUGGAAUUCCUGGUGUAGCGGUGAAAUGCGCAGAUAUCAGGAGGAACACCGGUGGCGAAGGCGGGUCUCUGGGGCCGAUUACCUGACGCUGAGGGAAGCGA
rnacentral:rRNA from 1 species